AUUGAACGCUGGCGGCAUGCCUUACACAUGCCAGUCGAACGGCAGCGCGGACUUCGGUCUGGCGGCGAGUGGCGAACGGGUGGGUAAUACACCGGAACGUACCCUGUUGUGGGGGAUAACUAGUCGAGAGAUUAGCUAAUACCGCAUACGAGCUGAGGGUGAAGGUGGGGGGCGGGAAGCGGGCUCCUGCAGCCGGGGCGGCCCAUGUCGGAUUGGCUAGUUGGUGGGGGAAAGGGCCUCCCAGGCGACGUGCCGGAUCGGGUCUGUGAGGGCGAUCCCCCACACUGGGACUUGGACGCGGCCCAUACUCCUACGGGAGGCCGCAGUCUGGUAUUUUGGGCAACGGUGGCAACCCUUAUCCAGCGAUGCCGCGUGUGUUAAGAAGGCCUUCGGGUUGUAAAGCACUUUUGUCCGGAAAGAAAUCGCGCUGGUUAAUACCUGGCGUGGAUGACGGUACCGGAUGAAUAAGCACCGGCUAACUACGUG
rnacentral:rRNA from 1 species